rnacentral:rRNA from 1 species
GCAAGUCGAACGAGGUCCAAGGAGCUUGCUCCUGAAGACCUAGUGGCGAACGGGUGCGUAACACGUGAGAAACCUGCCCCGAACUUGGGAAUAACAGUCGGAAACGACUGCUAAUACCGAAUAUCUUCACACCGUCGCAUGGCGAAGUGAAGAAAGCUCCGGCGGUUUGGGAGGGUCUCGCGGCCUAUCAGCUUGUUGGUGAGGUAACGGCUCACCAAGGCAUCGACGGGUAGCUGGUCUGAGAGGAUGAUC